CACACACACACACACACACACACACACACACGCCCGUUGUACUAUCUUUGUGAAGCGCCAUCAUUGACAUAAUGCAUUCCCUAGCCCCUUACCCUAACCUUAACCAUCCCAACUAAAUGCCAAACCUUAACCAGUACCCUCACCUUAACCAUAACG